GGGGGGGGGUCAAAGUUUUACAUACAAAUAUAGGAAAAAGCUUUAAAAAUCUUCUUCUCAAGAACCAUUGGGCCAAAGAAGUUGACAUUUACAUGAAAGCUUUCUGACAUAAUGUAGAUUCAAGUUUGCAAAGGGUAGUUUGGGCCAUAAUAGGGACUAAGUUUUACAUGCAAAUAUAUAUGGAAAGUCUUCAGAUAUGGGCCAAGGUGACUCAGGUGAGCGAUGUGGCCCAUGGGCCUCUUGUUUUUUCUUUACAUGAGAACAGUUUUGUAUCAUAGGGAAGUGAGAAAUCUGUUAAACACUAUUUUAGGUUUUUUUUUUUUUUUUUUUUUUUUUUUUUUUUUUUAUAUGAGAACAGUUUUGUAUCGUAGGGAAGUGAGAAAUAUGUUAAACACUAUGUUUUUUUUUUUUUUUUUUUUUUUUUUUACAUGAGAACAGUUUUGUAUCAUAGGGAAGUGAGAAAUCUGUUAAACACUAUUUUAGGUUUUUUUUUGUUUUUUUUUUUUGUUUUUUUUUUUUUUAUAUGAGAACAGUUUUGUAUCGUAGGGAAGUGAGAAAUAUGUUAAACACUAUGUUUUUUUUUUUUUUUUUUUUUUACAUGAGAACAGUUUUGUAUCAUAGGGAAGUGAGAAAUCUACACUUCGGUAUGGUGCCAUCACAUGAUUGUUAUAAACAGAUCAUGGAUGCACCUCAACAAAAACGUAUAACACAACUCCAGGGUUUGAACUAUGACCUGAUUGACAAUAUGAAUAGUAAAACAUCCCUAGUUUAUCCCAAAAUCUGCUACAAUCAUACUGCUUUCAGUAAGAAGUGAUUAUUAAACAUCUUUAUAUGAAACCAUCUCAGUUUUUCACACUUCACACUGAUGUUCUUGAGUUUUCUUCUGAAGUCUAUGUUACAGACAAUUUUUUACUAAUAGCACUUUCUGUUUAUGCUAGUCCAUCACUAUUAAAAGACCUAACAAGAAAUGUUUUAGAAACAUAUAUGUCCCCUACGUGGCAAUAUUGAAAAAGAUCAAUAUUUUAAAUCUAAGAUGUUUGUAAUUAUUGUGCAAUACAUGGGUUAUCUACUAAUCAGGGACAAUCAUAAUAAUAAGUUUGAUCUCUCUAGAUAUUGAGCAGACAUUUCCAAAUAACCUGUCAUUUGAAUCAUGACCUUUAAACUUGUGAUCUGAAAACCAGUGGGGACCAUUUACCCUUUAGGGGGCACCAGUGUCCC